rnacentral:rRNA from 1 species
CCUANGGGAGGCAGCAAUUAGGAAUCUUGCACAAUGGGCGAAAGCCUGAUGCAGCGACGCCGCGUGAAGGAUGAAGGCCUUCGGGUUGUAAACUUCUUUUGUCAGGGAAGAAGAAAGUGACGGUACCUGGCGAAUAAGCCCCGGCUAACUACGUGCCAGCAGCCGCGGUAAUACGUAGGGGGCGAGCGUUGUCCGAAUUUACUGGGCGUAAAGCGCGCGUAGGCGGAUUUUUAAGUCGGUGGUGAAAUCUCAGGGCUUAACCCUGAAACUGCCGCCGAAACUGGAAGUCUUGAGGUAUGGAGAGGGAAGUGGAAUUCCUGGUGUAGCGGUGAAAUGCGUAGAUAUCAGGAGGAACACCCGUGGCGAAGGCGGCUUCCUGGCCAUAUCCUGACGCUGAGGUGCGAAAGCCAGGGGAGCGAACGGGAUUAGAUACCCGGNUANUC